AGACAUCGCUGCGGCCGGGAUAGGGCGCCGCCGUUCUGGCCGGCUUUCUCGGUGCCCUGGAGGACCUGGCCGGCUCCGCGGGAAGCUGUACUCAGAGCGCGCGGCCGCCCUCUGGCAGGGAGGAGUUCGUUGCACUUUUGAGGGUUCUUCACGAAGACAUCCAAUACAUAGAAAACAAGUAACAGCAACAGUAACGAAUUUUUAAAUAUUAAAAUUGCUGGGGAACACGACGGAUCCUGCAGCUGCUCGGCUGUCCCGGUCGUCAGUGACGCUAGGGCUCCGCACCGUACCCUGCAUACCGUAGGUGCUCACGAAACGUUCGUGAGUUCCCUGCUCUGAGGAAACAAGCUUAAAAACUCAGAAUCUAAGGUGUGAGUCUCCGCAAACCUGCUUGUUGGGCAGCGUCCCCCGCCCGGGCUAGCCCUGCACGCCCCACCCCGGAGCCACGCUUCUCCAGCCGGGACCCCUGCCUCCUUCCAGGCUAUUCUCGGAACCGCAGCCAGAGGGAAUUUUUUUUUCCUUUCCUGAAACGUAGAGCAGAUCUGGUUACUCUUCUGCACAACGCCCUAAAAUCUAGGGCCCUUCCCAUCCCUCAGAAUUUACAUCUAAUUCUCAGCUCCCCUCCGGCUUGCUGUAGCCAUCCUGGCUUUUGUUUAGCACAGCACUUACUGUUAGUGACAUUAUAUUGUAUAUUAUUAACAUAUUUGUGUUUUACAUCCCUCACUAGACCCCCAGGAAAGAGGCUUUGAUGUGUUGCCUGCUGCAAGGCUGGCUGCAUAAUUUGUGGAGCUCAGAGAAAAGUGCGGAGCUUCCUUGUUCAAAAAACAGAAAGAAAGUGCCUCUGAGGUCAUAAAAUAUAAAACUUUCUCUUUCCUCUCAGUUUCUCUCUUUUCAUAGUGUUUUUAUGUGUUAUUUAAUAUCAUUCCAAGAAAAAUUUAGAUUUAAAUUGUUAGCAUGAAGUUCACCAUCCAUCUUUACGUUGUGCAAUGCCAGUUUUAAAUACUAAUAUAAGUGCACUGAUCUCAUAUGUGGAAUCACAGAAAUUAUGCAAUUUGUACUUCAUAGCUUAUACAUGCAUAUAGAUUUUGUUUUUACCAGAACCACGCUGGUAAAAACAGAUGCUGCACAAAGUGAACUUGCCCGUUUUCAUCGCACUUUACGUGCACGAAUUCUACCUCUACUCUCGACCUGGGACUCACCGAUGCGUAAGGAAGGACUGAAAAGCAAAAGAACUAUGGACUGGCCUUUUGGCAUGAUCAGGUGUCUAAUAUAAAGAAGUGCAUGAAUAAGAAAAUAUAUGAUAUGAGUGAUGGUUAAUACUGACUGUCAACUUGAUUGGAUUGAAGGAUGCAAAGUAUUGAUCCUGGGUGUGUCUGUGAGGGUGUUGCCAAAGGAGAUUAACAUUUGAGUCAGUGGGCUGGGAAAGUUCGACCCACUGUUAAUCUAGAUGGACACCAUCUAAUCAGAUGCCAGUGCAGCUAGAAAUGUAAAGCAGACAGAAAAAUGCGAAAAGAGAGACUGGCCUAGCCUGCCAGCCUACAUCUUUCUCCCACGCUGGAUGCUUCCUGCCCUCGAACAUCAGACUCCAAGUUCUUCAGUUUGGGACUUGGACUGGCUCUCCUUGUUCCUCAGCUUGAAGACUGCCCAUUGUGGGACUUGUGAUCAUUCAGCAGAGCCUGCAAAGAAAGAUCCUCUGGCUGAAUUGAUGGAUAACAGCUGUGUGCUUUAUAAAACAGCAAAUCACCAGGACACCCAUCUUGGAGACUGUUGUGACACUCAGAACAGGGGCUGUUGAGCUGCUGAUACCGGAAAGCAAAUCGUGCCUUAUCAUAGAGCAGACCUGCUGGACAGAGAUGGAGCGGUCACUUGGUCCAGUGUUGUAAUUGUUCAGUGCAGACGCCGAAGCCCAGCAUGCUGAGGUCAUACAGGUAUCUGGUACUGAAACCGGAAUUGGAACAAUGUCCUGCCCUGCGUUUGUCACUUCAAUGCCCCCCAGUUUUCCUGGACAAAGGUUUGCAUGAAUAGGAGCUGAGGGAGGUAAGGAGGAAGGCAGAGAAGCUGCUGCACUGAACAGAAGUCAGGGUGCUGUGCCUCUGCGUGUGUUCCUGCAGCAGGACCCAGCAACCGAGGCCAAGGAGGCUCCCAAACUUCUCCAGUGUCUUUCCCAAGCUUCUGCUCUUCUUUCUCUUUUCAGCUAACCUCCAGGCUCUCUAUCUUUUUGUCCUUAGGCUAUAGUCUCUGAUUAAGAUAUACUCGCUUCCCGCUUAAUGGAACUCAUCACAUCAGGUCCUACCUGUCCCCAGAACUCCCUUUUCAAUUACAGAAAACGGCCCGCUGAUCUUGGAAAGGGCUGGCAGGCGAGGGACCCUCCUCAGACUCAUUGAUUCUUUUGGUCCUGCUUUUCCAAAACUGCUCCCAUUUCUGUCUCUGCCUUCUGUCUCUGUCAAACAACCACUGUCAACAGUUCUUUAAACCAAAAAUCAUUGCUCAGGAAGCAAAUUUGUUUGCGGGAAGAAUGACAGUCUGUCGCCGUGCAGAGGGUGGCGUUCAUGACGGUGCUUGAAGGAGUUCACAGGUUAGGCCAGACAAAGCCCAGCGCGUUCAUCAGGCAGCUUGAGCACGGGUUGUCUUUCGCCUUCUUGCUGGUUUGACAUCGUGGGUAAAACCUGGUCAUUUUUCCAGAAGGAUUCUGAAGAGAUUGUGUAAAUUGAAGAAAUGGCUUGCUCUUGUUAGGAAAGCAAAGCCAACUUUUGAGAUAUUCAGGGAAUGUGAGGUCUAGUGGACUCUUUUACUGCCAAGUUUCUUAUCAUGAGAAACCGCUCUCAGCUCCUUAGUGGAAGGAAAUGAAAUGUAUGCAAAGCAUUAUCGGCUUACUCAGAUAACUGCACCAGCGUAAACCAGGUUGUGACUAAUUUGCAAACUUAGUGCAGGGAAGGUCCUUAGACGUGAUUCUGGAAUUGCCAACCCUAUGAGCUUCCACAGAUGCUAUGGGCCACUUUUAGAGCCCACGGAUUCAGCAUGUGGCUGUUGGGAACAGGCUUUGCUAUGAAAAUCAGUGAUGGCUUAUAAUGCCUCUAACUGCCAUAUAUGUUUUCACAGGAUUAUUAUUUAUGAUCUCAAUUAAUAUUUCCAUCUGAUUAGCAGUGAAACAAACCAGGAUGUGAGGAAAUGGGAACUUAAUUAAAGGUUGCUGCCCAGUCAGGGUGGCAUUCCAGAUCAUGGAUCCUGUUAUGUAGGAGGGACGCCCAAAUUCGCCCUGAGCAUGCCUCCCUUCCUCUUCUCAUGCAGCCUCUAACUCGGGGUGUCUCUUGCAAUGCCACUUAGAAUAGUUUCGCCGAAGAUGUAGGUGAUUAAUCAAGGCCCCGGGUGUCACAAUGGCCCAUUGUCCCAGAAGGCAUUCCUUUGGCCGGCUUCUGACCUUUUCUCUUGGGGCAAGUGUGCAUUUUCCCAAACUCUUAAUGGACAAGAACUCACAGACAAUGGCCCUGCAUGUAACUUUCAUUUGCAGGAUGGAACAGAGAAUGUUCGGGUUGCUGGAAGGAGGGAAAAGGGCAUGCAUUAACUCAAUCUUUGUAUUCUCAUCAAAAAACAGACACGUAUUUUGAAGAGGACAGCUUUCCACUCGGUUUUUUAUAUUUAAAAGAAUCAAUUGUUCAUAAGCCCAUCGUGAUAAUAUUAAAGGAAAUUAAAAUAAAAGACUCACUCACAGUCCUAUCACUCUGACACUCUGGAAAUCUAAUUAUUUCCGUUUACCGUGUUUCCCUCUAAUCUUGUCCAUAUACAAAGUUUUUACUCAGUUGUCAUCAAAGCUCCCCUGG
rnacentral:lncRNA from 10 species